CGUCUAUAUACGUAUAGCAUAUCAAUAAGCGGAGGAAAAGAAACUAACAAGGAUUCCCUUAGUAACGGCGAGUGAAGCGGGAAGAGCUCAAAUUUGAAAUCUUCAAGGUUCUACCUUGACGAAUUGUAGUUUAAAGAAGUGUUUUCUGUUAGAGGAGUAGCAAAAGUUCCUUGGAAUAGGGACAUCAUAGAGGGUGAGAAUCCCGUAUUUGGUUAUUCUUUCUAGCUUUGUGAUACACUUUCAAAGAGUCGGAUUGUUUGGGAAUGCAGUCCAAAAUGGGUGGUAAAUUUCAUCUAAAGCUAAAUAUUGGCGAGAGACCGAUAGCGAACAAGUACCGUGAGGGAAAGAUGAAAAGAACUUUGAAAAGAGAGUUAAACAGUACGUGAAAUUGUCAAAAGGGAAGCGUUUGACACCAGUGUUGUUUUUCCGAAAAUCAAUUAAGAGUGGCUUGAUUUUGUGUUGUAUUGACCUUAUCAGCUUUCUUCACUCUUUUUCGAGUCUUUCUUAAUGCACUUUUCGGUUAACAAGUCAACAUCAAUUUCUUUUGUUGUAAAAGGGUAUUUGGAAGGUGGCUUUCUUUUCGGAGAAAGUGUUUAUAGCCUUAUAGCCUCUACAAUCGGAGAGAUUGAGGUCUGCAGCGUAGAUCCUUCGGGGCUAGAUACACUUGUGCUAAGUUAUAGCUUUUCAUAGACAACUUGUUGACUAUGUUUAGUCAUGUAGCUUACCCGCUUGUGCUAUUUUACCUACGCUUAGGAUGUUGAGUCAUCACACAUCUCU
rnacentral:rRNA from 1 species